ACUUUGGAGAGCCUUAAACCCAUGGGGAAAUCAAAUUUAGUUGAACAAUAAAGUAACAGUCGUCAAUUAUCUCCUUUUACUUGUUUUUGUGCCA